UACGAAGGGGGCUAGCGUUGCUCGGAAUCACUGGGCGUAAAGGGCGCGUAGGCGGCGUUUUAAGUCGGGGGUGAAAGCCUGUGGCUCAACCACAGAAUGGCCUUCGAUACUGGGACGCUUGAGUAUGGUAGAGGUGGUGGAACUGCGAGUGUAGAGGUGAAAUUCGUAGAUAUUCGCAAGAACACCGGUGGCGAAGGCGGCCAACUGGACCAUUACUGACGCUGAGCGCGAAAGCGUGG
rnacentral:rRNA from 1 species